GUCGAGCUGCGCCGGCAGCGCGCGGCUGUGCUGCGAGUUGAGUGAGUUCUGCGGGAUGGGGCAGCCGGCGGCCGGCGCGGCCUCGUCGCCGUCCGCGCCCGGCACGUUGAGGUCGCAUAGGCUCACCGAGAGGCGCGCGUCGUCCGCCUCGCGCCGCAGCGACGGCCGCCGCAGGGCGGUGAAGGAGCGCGGCCGCAGACAGUCCGGGAGCACCAGCUCGCUAUCUGCGCGGGAGACACGGGGCAGUGUCACGCAGGGCUCUCGGGAGGCGGCCCCGGCGCGCCCCGCUGUCCGGUCCCUACGCGCGCACCGUUACAAUCCCGGAUGGCUAAUGGCGCACACGAUGCUUGUGACAUAAAUUAGCGAACACAGUCAAGAAACGACUCUUGCAGGACAUCUGUUUAAGCAGAGGAAUAGGUGGGGGGAAGCACCGAAACUGAAACCAUGUGGAUGCUUCCAAAUGCUCACAGGUGCUUGCUAUAUGCAUAUGUGUACUUCCUCAUUUUCUACAGUAAACUUGUAUUCCUCAUAAUUUAAAAUUUUCAAAAAUUUAACUCCUGGGCUCCUUCCGUCUUAUCCCUAGCAGCUAGAACAGCGCCAAGCAUUCUGUUGACAAACAGUAACCGUCUGUCGAGUGCACUGACGAAGGCCUAACAUCCUGGAAAGCCAGGGAGCAACCACCCCCCAGCAAACACACAGACACCCUCUUUGCGUACAUUGUCUCAUCUAACCUUAACAAUCACCUUUUGAGGCUACCAUUGCCAUGUCAGGACACAGGCUGAGAAGUAGAUCUAUCCAAGAUACCCUUUUGAAAGUGGCUUAACAGGGAAUCAAACUCAUCGUUCUUUUUUAAAUCAUACAAGUUAUACAAAAUAUAAAACGGUAUUUUGUAGAAAAUUCAGUUCAGCAAAAAGAAAAAACAAUCGCCUAUAAGCCCACCACCCAGAGAAAAGCAUUUUUAAUAUUUGGAUGUAUGAUCUUUUGGCCUUUUUAAAGGCUGUAUUUUUGGGUUUUUUGUUUGUUUGGCUUUUUUUUUUUUUUUUUUUUUUUUUUUGAGACAGGAUCUUGCUCUGUGGCCCAGGCUGGAGUGCAGUGGAGAUAUCUCAGCUUACAGCAACCUCCGCCUCCCAGGCUCAAGCCAUCCUCACCUCAGCCUCCCAAGUAGCUGGGAUGCACCACCGCGCCCAGCUAAUUUUUGUAUUUUUGGGGUAGAGACGGUAUUUCGCCAUGUUGCCCAUCUGGUCUCCAACUCCUAGGCUCAAGCGAUCCUCCUGCCUCAGUCUCCCAAAGUGCUACGAUUAGAAGUGUGAGCCACCACACCCAGCUGGUUACUUUUUUUAGUGCAAAAAUUGAGUCAUGCUAUAUAAACAUCACUUGUUUUUUACCUUUUAUAUGUACUACAUCACUUUGAAAAUGUGAUGACAUUGACCCUUUUCCCCAGAAAAAUGAACAUUCUCACUAAAUUCUGUAGAUAAUUUCUCGGCAUUCAUGAACUACAUGAAGCCAUUCAUGGGCAAGGACUCCAGGCUAAGAACCCUGGUAGCUUUUUUCAAAAUUUUCAAAAAUUUAACUCCUGGGCUCCUUCCAUCUU
rnacentral:lncRNA from 1 species